UGCUCCUUCUUCUCCGUCUUCUCCUUCUUCUCCUCCUCCUCCUUCUUCUUCUCCUCUCCUCCUCCUCCUCCUUAUUCUUCUUCUUCUCCUUCUCUUCCUCCUCCUUCUUCUCCUUCUCCUUCUUCUUCUUCUUCAUUUUUUCCUUCUUAUAAUAUAUGCUAUAUGCUUAUACUCCUGACUCCUGGGGCCUUCUGUAAUUGUCUGCUAUAUGCUUAUACUCCUGACUCUUGAGCCUGUUAUAACCCAUAAGACCCACAACAACAAGGGUCAAGUUUUUAUUAUGUUCAUGUUUAUUUAAAGUCAUCUAACAUAUCUUAGUACAUAGUCUGAUACCAGCCUUCCCAUGUUUCGGUUGUUAGGAGUAUUCAAGGUGCACCGUACCGAUGUAUCGGUGGGCGUACCGGUUCGGACUGGUACCAAAUUGGUACCACGGGUUCAGCUUGAUUCAUGCAUCCAAAAGCCCCAAAAAAAUUUGGAACCGGUACGGGCCGGUAUCGGUUUUUAACACCGAACCGGACCGGUCAGAGCCGGUACCGGUUCGGUAUGGGCCGAUUCAGCGUUCUAUGGGAGUAUUGCUUAGGGAGUUACAUCGAUGGAGCUGUUUUACUUAUAUUUUAGCUUUGGCCCCUUUUCUUGGUUGAAUCAUUCACUGAUUCCCUUAUCUUUUUUUUCUUUCCUUAUGUUUUUGUUGAGUAUCAUUGCAUGCUAUGAAGGUUGACUAUGUUAAGACUCAGUUGACCACUGGAACUUGGAUUCUGAUGAAAUGCUGAAUCUUGU
rnacentral:lncRNA from 1 species